rfam:Talaromyces stipitatus ATCC 10500 scf_1105507295555 genomic scaffold, whole genome shotgun sequence.
UCCUCGAUGGUCUAACGGUCAUGAUUUCCGCUUGUCAUAUCCAGUUGUCGGAUAACAAGCGCGGGAGACCUGGGUUCGACUCCCAGUCGGGGAG